UAAUACGGAGGAUGCAAGCGUUAUCCGGAUUCAUUGGGUUUAAAGGGUGCGUAGGCGGAUUAAUAAGUCAGUGGUGAAAUCUUGCGGCUCAACCGUAACAUUGCCAUUGAUACUGUUAGUCUUGAAUGCAGUUGAGGUAGGCGGAAUGUGUAAUGUAGCGGUGAAAUGCUUAGAUAUUACACAGAACACCGAUUGCGAAGGCAGCUUGCUAAACUGUGAUUGACGCUGAUGCACGAAAGCGUGGGGAUCAAACAGG
rnacentral:rRNA from 1 species